rnacentral:lncRNA from 1 species
GCUCCGCCCUGCUGGCUCAGGCUCUGCCGCCCGCCCCCCACACUGCUGGCCCCGCCUCUGCCAGGCUUUCCCACCUCUGCCGGGGCCGGCCAGGCUCCAGCUUGGCUUGGGGCUGCCGCGGGCUCUCACUUCCGUGUUGGCAGCUUUUAGAAUUUUGUUAAUGUAUUAGCCGCCCCGGAAUAUUGGCCGCACGCCCGGGUUUCCACCAAAAUUUUGGUCAAAUUGGUGCGGCUUGUAUUCGUGAAAUUACUGUAAAUCACUGACUCACAUUCACGCAUCAUAAUCACUGGUCUGUAGCUGGUAAUGUAAAGAGGGAAUUAAAACAGCAGAAGCUGCCAGACACUAUUUUUCUCAAGGCUUAUUUCCUCAAAGGAAAGGGCUUGCAAUUUCAUCUGUCCAGGGAAGAAAUCAGGACAUUUUGAGAACUUCUAUUUCUCCUAUGGGGCCAACUACAGAAGAGUUGAGAAACUCAGCAGUGAUUCCCUUGGACACUUCUUUGCAAAGCUAAAUCACAAGUCACUCAGCAACUUCUCAGGAAGUAUCUGGGAACCAUCAGUGAAUUUGCUGCUGGGAAGUAUAAAAGUUCUUCUUGGAUCCAUAAAAUAUGAAGAUGACAUCAUCUUACUAAAUGCUCAUGUUUAUUUGAUGGUCUUUCAUGAUCUGAAGCCUUUUAUUUCCUUCAUUAAGCAGAAGAAAAUGCAAAGUGAAACAAGAACCAGGGUCAGAAAAAGGCAUUAUUUAGACUUAAAUCCUUACAAGAGGAUCCCACAUUGA